rnacentral:tRNA from 1 species
GCAUCAGUAGCUCAGUCACUAGAGCACCGGUCUUGUAAACCGGAGGCCGAGGGUUUGUCCCCUCCCGAUGCU